UACGUAGGUGACAAGCGUUGUUCGGAAUUACUGGGCGUAAAGCGCGCGUAGGCGGCUUUGUAAGUUAGAGGUGAAAGCCCGGGGCUCAACCCUGGAACUGCCUUUGAUACUGGGGAUCUCGGAGUCCGGAAGAGGUGAGUGGGACUCCGAGUGUAGAGGUGAAAUUCGUAGAUAUUCGGAAGAACACCAGUGGCGAAGGCGGUUCACUGGUCCGGUACUGACGCUGAGGUGACGAAAGGCGUGGGGAGCAAACACGG
rnacentral:rRNA from 1 species